UUUCCAAUUUGCUCGGUUUGACCGAUCGCGACCGGAAGCCUGACUACCCAUACACAGACAAACACCAAACGGAAAAGACAACACAACAGAUAUAUGUCCUUCUUGUACACAUCCAGCAGAUCAUCAAGACCAGCGAACCACUGACCUAAACCUGAAGCACAUUUCCCCUAAACAGAGAAUAUAAAUGAAAAAAUAAGCGGAAUGAACCAUCAAUUUAUCCAGCAUGUGUUCUACGCAGAUGAUUCCCUUCCAGCUGCAACCCAUCACUGGGAAACACCCAUACACUCUUAUUCACAUACAUACACUACAGACAAUUUAGCUUACCCAAUUAGACAAUAGCGCAUGUUUUUGGAGGGGAAACCGGAGCAUCCGGAGGAAAACCACGCCAACACGUUGAGAACAUUCAAACUCCACACAGAAAUGGCAACUAACCCAGCUGAGGCUCGAACCAGUGACCUUCAUGCUGUGAGGCGACAGCACUACCCUCUGCGCCACCUCGCUGUCCACCAGAUAUGUCCAUAUCCUAAAUUUUUGUAUAUUAGCUACAUAUUCAAUUACAAAUAAUAGACAGUGUUAGUUUGUUUUGUUGUAUUUAUUUGGUGUUCAGAGAACUGCAUCAGUGAUUCCACGCAUCAGGUUAAAUUUGUUUUCUCAGACUCCAUGGUCAGUCCAUUACUACUACUGUAUCUGUUCAACCUAGAUAAUGGAACCAACCAUGAUUAAAGAUAUGUCGAUAUUCCAA